UUCGCAAUGCCCGAAAGGGUGACGAAGCGACGCCGCGUGUGGGAAGAAGGCCUUCGGGUUGUAAACCACUGUCGGGAGUUAAGAAAUGCAAGGAUAUGAAUAGUGUCUUUGCUUGACUAAGGCUCCGGAGGAAGCCACGGCUAACUCUGUGCCAGCAGCCGCGGUAAUACAGAGGCGGCAAGCGUUGUUCGGAAUUAUUGGGCGUAAAGAGCACGUAGGCGGCUAUGUAAGUCGGUUGUGAAAGCCUUCCGCUCAACGGGAGAACAGCAUCCGAUACUACAUGGCUCGAGUGCGGGAGGGGAGAGUGGAACUUCUGGUGGAGCGGUGAAAUGCGUAGAUAUCAGAAGGAACGCCGGCGGCGAAAGCGGCUCUCUGGCCCAUAACUGACGCUGAGUGUGCGAAAGCUAGGGGAGCAAACGGGAUUAGAUACCCCGGUAGUCCUAGCCGUAAACGAUGGGCACUAAGUAGAGGGGUUUU
rnacentral:rRNA from 1 species